rnacentral:lncRNA from 10 species
GAGAAAUUGAGAACGAAAGAGAGGAGGCAGGGACCAUUCUCCAAAAGGGGCAUCUGUUCUAUGACUGCUCUUUAUGACCAAGUGGAGAUUGUUAGGAGAGCACAGAAAAGAGGCUAGAGGAAGUGAGGAACUCAGAGACAGUAGAGAAAGCAGGCAGAGGAUGGAAGCUGUCCUAAGUGAUCAGAUCCCAACCCAGCCACGCCUGGCCCCUGACUGUUUCAGGACCUGCUGUGAGAGCUCCUGAAGCUGCUGUCCUCAGGAAGUGUCACCUGAACAAAUUGGCCACCAGGGAACAUUACUGAAAGAGCUUGCCCAAACAGAUCAAUACUUAAUUUCUAAUGAGCAAUUUUCAAUUAGAUCCUUGAUUUGACUGAUGUCUGAUCAUUCGCCUGUAACCACUGCAGGUCUUUUGCUCCCCUCGGUGGCCAAAAUGCAGCAGAUGAUACAGCCAUGAUAACCUGAGUGUUCUAUCCCAUAGUCUCAGCCAAAUCGAAAGGCUUAGGGCAGUGGUUCUAAACGCGGGUGAGUUUGCCCUCAAGGGGAUGUUGCACAGUGUCUGGGGAUAUUUUUGUUUGGCACAGCCAAGGGGUGUUACUGGCACACAGCGAGUAGAGUUCAGGGAUGCCACCAAACAUCCUACAAUGCACAGGACAGCCCCACAACAAAGAAUUAUCACCCCGAAAUGUCCACAGUGCUGAGGUUGAGAGGCACCGCCUUAGGGCCUCCUCUGUUUGUCGAUCACAGUUACCUCGGUGAUCGUCUCCCUGAUCGUCUCCAACCAAACGCACUCUUAGAAGCAUCCCCGCUCAGGCCACACCCACACUCACAUGCUCACAUGCACACACACCCCUUCACAGCAUUCAUCACCUACAAUAAUGCAGACCGAACCCUGCAACUGUUUUUGUUUUGCUUUGUUUGUUUUUGAGACGGAGUCUCGCUCUGUCUGUCGCCCAGG